rnacentral:lncRNA from 1 species
UUCAAAUAAAUUAAACUAACACAAUAUACACACCAAGUCAAUUAAUUCAAUUAUUCAAUUAUAUCUCAUAUCAACUAAAUAAUUGAUUAACACACCAAAUUAAUAAAAUAAAAUAUAAUAAUAAUAUAAGAAAUAAAUACUAAAAAUUGGGUUGUUACAACUCUCCCCCACUUAAAAGAUUUUCGGCCUAGAAAAUUUACCUCAAACGAACAACUCUGGAUACAAUUCCC